rnacentral:rRNA from 3 species
GAAUGUGCCUUCGGGAACCGUGAGACAGGUGCUGCAUGGCUGUCGUCAGCUCGUGUUGUGAAAUGUUGGGUUAAGUCCCGCAACGAGCGCAACCCUUAUCCUUUGUUGCCAGCGGUCCGGCCGGGAACUCAAAGGAGACUGCCAGUGAUAAACUGGAGGAAGGUGGGGAUGACGUCAAGUCAUCAUGGCCCUUACGACCAGGGCUACACACGUGCUACAAUGGCGCAUACAAAGAGAAGCGACCUCGCGAGAGCAAGCGGACCUCAUAAAGUGCGUCGUAGUCCGGAUUGGAGUCUGCAACUCGACUCCAUGAAGUCGGAAUCGCUAGUAAUCGUGGAUCAGAAUGCCACGGUGAAUACGUUCCCGGGCCUUGUACACACCGCCCGUCACACCAUGGGAGUGGGUUGCAAAAGAAGUAGGUAGCUUAACCUUCGGGAGGGCGCUUACCACUUUGUGAUUCAUGACUGGGGUGAAGUCGUAACAAGGUAACCGUAGGGGAACCUGCGGUUGGAUCAC